rnacentral:rRNA from 1 species
GACGAACGCUGGCGGCGUGCUUAACACAUGCAAGUCGAACGGAAAGGCCCUGCUUUUGUGGGGUGCUCGAGUGGCGAACGGGUGAGUAACACGUGAGUAACCUGCCCUUGACUUUGGGAGAACUUCAGGAAACGGGGGCUAAUACCGGAUAGGAGCUCCUGCUGCAUGGUGGGGGUGGGAAAGUUUCGGCGGUUGGGGAUGGACUCGCGGCUUAUCAGCUUGUUGGUGGGGUAGGGGCUUACCAAGGCUGUGACGGGUAGCCGGCCUGAGAGGGUGACCGGCCACCUUGGGCCUGCGAUACGCCCCAGUCUCCUACGGGAGGCAGCAGUCGGGAGUCUUGCCCAGUCGUCGCACGCCUGAUACAGCAACGCCGCGUGCGUGAUGACCGCCUUCGGGUUGUAAACCGCUUUCGCCUGUGACGACGCGUGAGUGACGGUACUGGGUGAAGAAGCACCGGCUAACUACGUG